rnacentral:lncRNA from 1 species
AUGAGACACAACUCAUCAGGAAGCAGCACAGACAAGGAAGGACAGAGUGUUGGAAUUUGGCAUGGUUUGUGCAGCAGGAGAAGGACUCUAGUUACACACAGCUCUGCCCAGACCCUCGUGUGGGUGUCAUAUGGACAUGGAUGCAUCAGGCCAUUUGGACAUGGUGCCUCAGACAUAAGAAAUCACCUCACUGCCCUCUCUUGCUGUGAAACUCUGCUUACAGGCAAGAAGCUGAUUCCAGUUGGGGGGCUUGCCUACAAAGAAACGAUGGCUGGACAUGAGUUUCCAGUCCCCAGGAGAGGUCAAUUCCACUUGCUAAGUAACCUGCUCAGGGUCACACUGCUGGGAAGUGGAAGAGCUGGGAUGCAAGCUGAGGUUCUCCUGACUUCUGGCUAUGCUGCUUGGGUAGCCAGCAAACCUCCCCAGGAUUCUUCUCUGCUGACCACUCUUAGCACUGAACACACAGUCCAUGUCAGGUCAAAGAAGUGGAAUUCAAAAGCAAAGCCAGAAGGCGUCCAUCCUCCGGAAAGUCAAACAAGGAAGGGUCCUCCAUGGUGAGAUAAAUGACACAGCCAGUCCUCCCGGCCUCAGCGAAGAAGUCCUAGGGAUGUGUUACUCGGAUGCAGCUAUGCCUCAGAGGAUGCGCGAGCUUGGCCAUCAACAUGCAGCAAGCACACCAGUUUAUCCCUUCUGCACUCUCAGCAGAGCCUGAUUUUAAAAAUCACUAAAAGGAAACCCGAAUCACCUGAAGUUUCUACAAGGUAAAUAAUUCAUGCUCAGACCACAGUUGCUUUCCAGAGGGACAGAUUCCACUGCCUGAACUUGCCUUCCACUGGCUUUAGGUGGCCUCCCAGCUGCCUGCAGAAGGAUAGAGCGUGUCACUGGGAUGUGCACAGGACAAGGAACUGGGGUUUCCUGUUGAUGCGAGUCGAUAACAGCAAUAAUGAUCCCCCCAGAGCCCUUGCCCAGGUCAGCAGGAGGCAGCAGUGCGGCGAGUCCAGGAUCAUAAAAACAGCCUGGCUCCAUCAGCUGCCAGCUGUGUGACCUUGAGCAAGUCACUUCACCUCUCCAGCCUCAGCUUCCUCAUCUGUGAAGUGAGAAUAAUAAGCACACCGAUCUCAUAAGCUUAUUGUGAGGAUUAAAUGAAUUAGUAUAUGUAAAGUACUUAGAACAAUACCUAGAAUCAGGUAAACAUCCAAUAAAUGGUAGCUAUUAUUUAUAGUAAUAAUAAUA